rnacentral:rRNA from 1 species
AUGGAGAAGAAGCGGGUGGCCAUCAUCGGAGCCGGGGUGAGCGGCCUCACUGCGUGCAAGCACGCUUUGGAGCAUGGCUUCCGUCCUGUCCUGUUUGAGGCCGACGCAGACGCCAUUGGUGGCGUGUGGGCGCACACGCUCCCCUCAACGCGGCUUCAGACCCCGCGGCCAUAUUACCAGUUCACCGACUUCCUGUGGCCGUCGGGAGUGUCAGAUUUGUACCCUGACCAUAACCAGGUCACGGAUUACCUGCGCUCGUAUGCGCGCCACUUCGGCGUGCUAGAGUGCAUCAGGUUUGGCCCCCGGGUUGCUGCUCUGGAGUACUCCAGCCCUGUGAACGAGGGGGAGAUGAUGGCAUGGGAUCAGUGGGCCGGCAAUGGUGAGGCAUUCGGCAGCGGUCGGGGCGUGUGGAGCCUUACCGUGCAUCGCGGGGAAAAUGUUGAGAUCCAUGUGGCCGACUUUGUGGUUCUUUGUCUCGGACGAUUCAGUGGCAGGCCCAAUAUUCCCGCUUUCCCGCUGGGGAAAGGGCCAGAGGCAUUUGAUGGCACUGUGAUCCACUCCAUGGAUUUUUCCAACAUGGACGAUGCAAAGGCCACCCAACUCAUCAAAGGCAAGCUCGUCACUGUCAUCGGUUACCAAAAGUCUGCUCUGGACGUUGCCACACGAUGCGCAAAUGUGAAUGGUCCGACGUAUCCAUGCACAAUGAUUUGUCGUACGAAGCGAUGGAUCAUCCCGGGCUACCACGCAUGGGGUGUCCCAAUUUCUUUCUUCUACCUCAACCGGUUUUCUCAACUCCUAAUUCACAAGCCAGGAGAGGGGCUGCUCCUUGGACUUUUGGCAACGUUGUUAUCACCUUUGAGGUGGUUGUUUUCCAAGUUUGUUGAGAGCUACUAUAGAUGGGUUGUACCUAUGAAGAAGUACGCCAUGGUGCCAGACCACAGCUUCUUCGAUGCCAUGAGCUCAUGCUUGGUUGUGUUGCUACCCGAUAGGUUCUACAAUAAUGUCGACCAAGGCAGUAUCGUUCUCAAGAAAGCAAAGGAAAUGAGCUUCUGCAGACAAGGCCUUGUUGUAGAAGGCGAAUCCUCGACAAUAAAGAGCGACGUGGUGAUAUUUGCUACCGGGUACAUAGGUGACGAAAAGAUGAGGGAUAUUUUCAAGUCCCCCAUGUUCAAAGACAUUGUAGCAGGCUCGCCUUCUAGCAUCGUUCCACAUUUCAGGCAAUGUGUCCAUCCUAGGAUCCCCCAGUUAGCCAUCAUCGGCUACUGUGAGAAUGUGUCAAACCUGCACGCGUUCGAGCUACGGUCAAAGUGGUUGGCACACUUCCUUCACGGGAGCUUCUGUUUGCCUAGUAUCCAAACUAUGGAGGACAAUAUAAUCGAGUGGGAUAAGUAUAUGAAACGGUACGCUUCAAGCCACUUCCGUCGGUCGUGUAUUGCACUGGUCCACAUCCUGUGCAAUGAUCAGCUGUGUCAUGACAUGGGGAUUAAUCACAAGAGGAAAAAUGGAUUCCUGGCAGAUUGGGUGCUUCCUUAUGGACCAGCAGAUUAUGGUGGCAUC